ensembl:lncRNA
GAAGGGUUUUCCAGGACUUUCCGUGCCCCAGCCCCAGGCAAACCAGGACAGGUUGCUCUACACAUUCUUCUUUAACUCUCCAGAGUGCAAAGGAGAGCAUCAAACAAGCACAGGAGGUGUGUGGCUCUCCCCGCCAGGAACGGUCAUCAGGAAACAGUGCCCAGCACUCGCGGGGCAUUUUAAGGGCUCACGCAGAGCCUCGCCUCCAGACAGCACCGCGAGGCAGGGACUAGCAGGGCACUCACUGUUCAAGUGAGAAAAAAGGAGAUGCAGAGAGCUUGACUCCGUUUUCCAAAAUCACCCAGCUGUUAAGUGUGGGCAGCUCACCUUGCCUCUCUACUGUCCAUCUUUUCCUCUCCUUUAAAAACUUCCAAAGACCAUGUGGAAGCCUGCUGGCCUUCCUCUUCAGGUCCCGUUUCUCAUCUGAGUCAUCCUCACCUCUCUGGCUGAUUGAUGGGCCUGGGGGAGCAUUAAUAACUAGUCUUUGAUAAGGAGUCAGUGGUUUGCAGAGUAUAUUUAUUGCAGGGAGGGGAGGGCACAUAGUGGACACAAACCUUGGUAACCAUUUAAAUGCCCAACAGUAGGAGUUGCUUUUUAGGAAAACUAAUGUGCUAUCCCCAGAAAGGAUACACUGACCGGGGAGAAAGUCUAGAAACUGGGAGAUGAAUGCACAGACUGUUCCUUUCAAGCAGUAGCUGUUGUAUACCCAGUUCAUGUACUGAACAGCUCCUGGUGAUGUGUCAUACAUAUGGCUGGCCGUGGGCACACAGCAGAGCAGAACAGGGGCCUGGCCCUCUGGGACCGGAUGCUCUGGUGUGGGAUGCGCUAGGUCAGUGCGGCUGGGACACGUGCUGGGAAGGAAAUGAUCAGGGGUGGAGGCGACUUGCUGUAGAGCGGGAGGCUGGGGAAGAGGCUGCCCGGAAGGCCUGCGUGGGAGAAGGGACAGCUGUGCAGAACAGAGGGGCUGGAGGUUCAGGAGAGGAACCAACAGGGGCCGAUGCCUCAACGCUGCCACAGACUUGGAAAGGCAGGAAGGAUCCAGAAGAUGCUGAGGGGCUGUGGGGUCACCUUCUCUUCCUCCCUCCUGCCGCCCCAAGCUGUCUGAGUUGCGUGUUACGCAGUGGGAGAGCACAUUGGCCUGGAUCUCAAGCUACCCACGUUCUAGUCCUGCCUGUGUUAUUUCCUAGAGCUGUGGCCUCGGGUAAGUCACCUCACCUCUCUGGGCCUCAGUUUCUCCAUUUGUAAUAUGAUGGGUGUGCAUAGGUAAUCUCCAAGUUCCCUUUCUACCCUGAAAUUAUUGGAAUUCCUAAUGCCCAGUUGCAAAGUGGGAAAGAUGAGGGGAAUUUUCCUCAUUUAUUAUCUUCUAAGGGUGAUUCUGAAGAGUGAUAACAAGAGUUAAGUCUCUUACACAUUUCAGACAGGAAGGGAACGAAAGUAAUGCCCAUUGUUCCCUCCUUGCUUCUCACCUUAGUCAUGUUGCCUGACUUCUUUUAUUAAUCUUAAGGUGAUUUAAGUUUUAUAUUUUUUGUAUAUCACCUGCUUCCAAAAUAGAUUUGAGGGGUUCACGGUAUAAGAUGCACACGUGCAACUGGAUCAUUAACAUAAAAUAGGA